UAUCACUAUUAUGCUUGAGCAUUUCUGAAGAAGCUCAAUAAGUUGGAGAGAAAGUACACUUCAUCACUGCUUUACAUCUUCCUGCAGUUUUUUGUCAAGUAGUAAAACCAGCAAAAGCUUCAACAGCAGAGGAGUGUCAGUAGUUAAAGAUGGUGGUAUAGGAAGAUUCUGGACUCACCUCUUCCCAGGGACACAACAGAUCUACAACUACACGUGAAAUAAUUCCUUCAAAAGGGACCUGAAAGUUGGAAGAACAGCCUCCACACCAGAGGGUAAAAAGACAUUGUUGAGAUUUUCACAUUCCUUGGCUCAUGGGCCCUUCCUCUAUCUUGAAAGUCAACAGUGUUGUAUUUCUCUGAUCUUUCUUUAAUCUCACAUCUCUUUCUGACCAUAGCCUGGAAAAUUUUUAACUCCUGUGAUUAAAUUGGAUCCACAUGAAUAAUUCAGGAUAUUCUCCCCAUCUCAAGAGCUGCCGUGAAAUUAUGAAUUCUGCCAUCAAUUGCCAAACAUUAAUAUAUAGCUCACUAGGGACUGGUGUAUAAGCAGUGAUUAUUGCUGGGUAUUUCAGUUGGAGCUUACUCACUACUCUGUUUAGGCACAGCAACUGGAAAGAUAUUUUUUUAAGUAUGUGCUUCAUUUAAGUCCCAAGAUUUUUUUUUGUACUUAGAGAUGCAUAGCUAUUUAUGAUAUGAAUCAAAUAACC